rnacentral:rRNA from 1 species
UUUAACUGAAGAGUUUGAUCAUGGCUCAGAUUGAACGCUGGCGGCAGGCUUAACACAUGCAAGUCGAGCGGAGAGAGGUAGCUUGCUACUGAUCUUAGCGGCGGACGGG